rnacentral:rRNA from 4 species
UGACCUCGGAUCAGGUAGGGAU